GAUGAACGCUGGCGGUAUGCUUAACACAUGCAAGUCGAACGGACUCUUCGGAGUUAGUGGCGGACGGGUGAGUAACGCGUGAGAAUCUGGCUUUGGGUUCGGGACAACCACUGGAAACGGUGGCUAAUACCGGAUGUGCCGAGAGGUAAAAGAGAAAUUGCCUGAAGAUGAGCUCGCGUCUGAUUAGCUAGUUGGUGAGGUAAAGGCUCACCAAGGCAGCGAUCAGUAGCUGGUCUGAGAGGAUGACCAGCCACACUGGGACUGAGACACGGCCCAGACUCCUACGGGAGGCAGCAGGGGGGAAUUUUCCGCAAUGGGCGAAAGCCUGACGGAGCAAUACCGCGUGAGGGAAGAAGGCUCUUGGGGUGUAAACCUCUUUUCUUAGGGAAGAACAAAAUGACGGUACCUAAGGAAUAAGCAUCGGCUAACUCCGUG
rnacentral:rRNA from 1 species